rnacentral:lncRNA from 1 species
ACGACUCUUCUUCUGCAAAACUCUAGUCCUUUUUCUAUAUCCUCCUCAAAUCCCUCUCGCUCGGCUUUCAUCCACUGGCUCCGAUCUUUAACGCGUAGUUUCUAUUCGAAUCUGGUCGAUUCGAUCUUCUUGUUCUUCUGCAACUCCCGCUCUUUUUUCCAUAACUAAAUUCCCUUUUCAUUUCUCUCUCUAUAUAUACAAAUUUAUUAAUUUUUUUUGUUUUUUGUUUUUGGGGAAAUUAGUUUUAACUGCAGUGGAGUGGUUUUCAGUGUCUUAUAGUGAUGUUCUGAUCCUGCUAAAAACCCUAAUUUUCAUGUUCUCUUGCUGAUUGGAAAAUUUUAUUUUACAGAUUUUAGUAUUAUGCGCACUGAGUCUUAAAAGGAUGGGAAAGAGGAAGGAUUUUUACUAGUGGCUACGAUCUGGCUUUUUUUCUUAGUCGGAGGUUGAGGAUUCUCAUUGUUGGGUUCAUCAUUAUCGGUGGUGGAAAGGGAGAUUGGGUUUUCUUAGUCGGAGGAUGAGGAUUCUCCAGGCAUGAAUAUCUGAGCUGGUUUAAUCUCCUAGUUUCUUUUUUUAAAAGUCAAAUUGUAAACAAUACCUCUGGCCGAAAAAUAAGUAUUCUGGCCGGACUCUCAAAUUGGGGCUACAUUGUAUCAAAUUAAAUAUUUAAUGUAGUAAAUUAUAAGUUCAAAUUUUUUAACGACCGAAUCAUGAAUAUGAUGAUACCUGAAGUAACAUAAGUGCAUUUAGCCCUUGUAUAUGUGGAGUGGCAUUUCUUACGGUAAUAAAUUAAAUAGGUUUACAUCAACCUAAUCAUUUCUAACUAGACUAGAUUAACUAGGGGUGAGUAUGGUGCAAUUUGAAGCGAAAAUUGCACACAAAAUCGUUUAGGUGUGUUUUAACAAAUUCAAAAUCGCACAUAAAAUCACUUGUGAUUGAUGCGGUGCGGUUUUAUUUGAU